CAAAGUACACGGAGCGCUUUAUCGCUCGGAAGAACUACAGUUACAGCGUGGAGCCGGAUGUUGAGAAGACAUUAUAUAGUGCUAAAUGUUUGAAACCUUGUCGUAACACUCAACAAUCAUGGACCCCUCCUUCAUAUAAAACUGCAAGUCUGAGGGCAGAAGACGAAGGAAACAAACGGUUAAGACGUGUCCCCAACCACAUCAACAGAUGCUUUGACUCUGAGAAAACAAAGGAGUUUUCGCGCCGAAUGUUUAAAAGACCAAUUCAACCAAUC